rnacentral:rRNA from 1 species
AGAGUUUGAUCCUGGCUCAGGACGAACGCUGGCGGCGUGCUUAACACAUGCAAGUCGAACGAAAAGACGGAAAGAGCUUGCUCUUUCCAGAAUUGAGUGGCAAACGGGUGAGUAACACGUAAACAACCUGCCUUCAGGAUGGGGACAACAGACGGAAACGACUGCUAAUACCGAAUAAGUUCCAAGAGCCGCAUGGCCCAUGGAAGAAAAGGUGGCCUCUACCUGUAAGCUAUCGCCUGAAGAGGGGUUUGCGUCUGAUUAGCUGGUUGGAGGGGUAACGGCCCACCAAGGCGACGAUCAGUAGCCGGUCUGAGAGGAUGAACGGCCACACUGGAACUGAGACACGGUCCAGACUCCUACGGGAGGCAGCAGUGGGGAAUCUUCCGCAAUGGGCGAAAGCCUGACGGAGCAACGCCGCGUGAGUGAUGACGGCCUUCGGGUUGUAAAACUCUGUGAUCCGGGACGAAAAGGCAGAGUGCGAAGAACAAACUGCAUUGACGGUACCGGAAAAGCAAGCCACGGCUAACUACGUGCCAGCAGCCGCGGUAAUACGUAGGUGGCAAGCGUUGUCCGGAAUUAUUGGGCGUAAAGCGCGCGCAGGCGGCUUCCCAAGUCCCUCUUAAAAGUGCGGGGCUUAACCCCGUGAUGGGAAGGAAACUGGGGAGCUGGAGUAUCGGAGAGGAAAGUGGAAUUCCUAGUGUAGCGGUGAAAUGCGUAGAGAUUAGGAAGAACACCGGUGGCGAAGGCGACUUUCUGGACGAAAACUGACGCUGAGGCGCGAAAGCGUGGGGAGCAAACAGGAUUAGAUACCCUGGUAGUCCACGCCGUAAA